UUAAAAGACUGCUCGG
rnacentral:rRNA from 1 species